UUAAUACUCUCUCCAUCCCAUUAUUCUUGUCUCAAAUUUGCCCAAAAAGGGAUGUAUCUAUUCCUUAAAAGCGUCUAGAUACAUGUAAUAUUUCGACAAGAAUUAUGGGACGGAGGGAGUAUUAU
rfam:Brachypodium distachyon strain Bd21 chromosome 4, whole genome shotgun sequence.